ensembl:snRNA U6 U6 spliceosomal RNA
GUACUCUCAUUAGCAGCAUGUAUGCUAAAAUUGGAACAAUAUGGAGAAGAUUCGCAAGACCCCUGCGCAAGGAUGACAUGCAAAUUCAUAUUUUU